GUGUCCGACACGAGGUGCUACCCGGAUCGGGACGCACCACGGCGUCCCGGACGAGGUGGCUGAGAACACACCCGACGAACCUGCUUCAGGUAAUACUGACGAAGGGAUGUCAUGGCUACAGCCG
rnacentral:ncRNA from 1 species